rnacentral:rRNA from 1 species
UGGGGAAUAUUGGACAAUGGGGGAAACCCUGAUCCAGCAAUGCCGCGUGAAUGAUGAAGGCCUUCGGGUUGUAAAGUUCUUUUAUUGAUGAAGAUAAUGACGGUAAUCAAUGAAUAAGCACCGGCUAACUUCGUGCCAGCAGCCGCGGUAAUACGAAGGGUGCUAGCGUUGUUCGGAAUGACUGGGCGUAAAGGGCGCGUAGGCGGUAGAAUACGUCUGAUGUGAAAUCCCCGGGCUUAACCUGGGAACUGCAUUGGAUACGGUUUUACUAGAGUCCGCGAGAGGAAGAUGGAAUUGUGCGUGUAGAGGUGAAAUUCGUAGAGAUGCACAAGAACACCGGUGGCGAAGGCGAUCUUCUGGAGCGGUACUGACGCUAAGGCGCGAAAGCGUGGGGAGCAAA